rnacentral:rRNA from 1 species
ACGGGAGGCAGCAGUCGGGAAUAUUGCGCAAUGGAGGAAACUCUGACGCAGUGACGCCGCGUAUAGGAAGAAGGUUUUCGGAUUGUAAACUAUUGUCGUUAGGGAAGAUAAAAGACUGUACCUAAGGAGGAAGCCCCGGCUAACUAUGUGCCAGCAGCCGCGGUAAUACAUAGGGGGCAAGCGUUAUCCGGAAUUAUUGGGUGUAAAGGGUGCGUAGACGGAGAAGCAAGUUAGUUGUGAAAUCCCUCGGCUUAACUGAGGAACUGCAACUAAAACUACUUCCCUUGAGUGUCGGAGGGGAAAGUGGAAUUCCUAGUGUAGCGGUGAAAUGCGUAGAUAUUAGGAGGAACACCGGUGGCGAAAGCGGCUCUCUGGUCUGUAACUGACGCUGAGGCUCGAAAGCGUGGGGAGCAAACAGGAUUAGAUACCCUGGUA